rnacentral:lncRNA from 1 species
AAGCUGGGGUGGGGGGCUUCUGGUCCCCAUCUCUGCAGCCUCAUCUUCUCCCCAGCUACACAGACCCAGAUGGCCGCUGUCCUGGACUCCUGACGCCGGACCAGAUGAAGGCAGGCACCUACAAGCUCACCUUCGACACUGAGGGCUACUGGAGGAAGAGGGGGCAGGAAAGCUUCUACCCACAUGUGGAGAGGUUUUCAUCUGAGCCAACUCCAGCUCUCUGGGCCUAACCUCACUGCCUCACCCCACACUGGAGCCGCCGCAGAAGCGCCUGACUUACUGGGCUGUGGCUUCUGUGGAGUGUCCCUCUGGUGCGGAAGGUUCACCCCAUCCCAGACCCUCAGUCUGGGCUGCUGAAUUCUCUCAGGUGUGUUGGGGCCAGAUAGGUGGUUUGCUG